GUUCUGUUUCCCAUGCAAUAGACAAAGGGAAGAGCUUUUGCUGUAAGUGGAAAGUGUUACUGAGAAGCUCUCUUCAGUCUAGUACUGUUUCCUUUCUUCUCAGAUUGCCUGAAAUUAUGCUUUGGUUGCUUUCACAGUGAGAUAAGCAGCUCAGCUUGCUAUUUUUCUUGCUCUAAUCAUGUGAGAUAAUUGGGUGGGGGAAAUUGGCAAAUUUAAUUUUAAUUAUACAUGUUUCCAUUGCCCCUUUCCCCAUCUAUAAUUCAAUAUAAGAACCCUUU
rnacentral:misc_RNA from 1 species